GACGAACGCUGGCGGCGUGCCUAACACAUGCAAGUCGAGCGAAUGAAGUUCCUUCGGGAAUGGAUUUAGCGGCGGACGGGUGAGUAACACGUGGGCAACCUGCCUCAUAGAGGGGAAUAGCCUUCCGAAAGGGAGAUUAAUACCGCAUAAGAUUGUAGUACCGCAUGAUACAGCAAUUAAAGGAGCAAUCCGCUAUGAGAUGGGCCCGCGGCGCAUGAGCUAGUUGGUGAGGUAACGGUUCACCAAGGCGACGAUGCGUAGCCGACCUGAGAGGGUGAUCGGCCACAUUGGGACUGAGACACGGCCCAGACUCCUACGGGAGGCAGCAGGGGGGAAUAGUGCACAAUGGGGGAAACCCUGAUGCAGCAACGCCGCGUGAGUGAUGACGGCCUUCGUGUUGUAAAGCUCUGUCUUCAGGGACGAUAAUGACGGUACCUGAGGAGGAAGCCACGGCUAACUACGUGCCAGCCGCCGCAGUAA
rnacentral:rRNA from 1 species